UUUCAGCUAAAGCCUACGCAGCAAUGCCCGAAGACUUAGCCGAAAAGUGCAAGAUGAAAUGCUGCUAUGACAAUCUCCGUCUAACAUGGUGCCGAACAGUAGAUGUCUUGGAAGGCAUGACAUGCGUAGGAGAACACACAUGCAGAAGAGGAAUCUGUGCUAACCACACGUGGGCAGAAAAAUAAAGAGGAGAUCA